rnacentral:rRNA from 1 species
AUUGAACGCUGGCGGCAGGCUUAACACAUGCAAGUCGAGCGGAGAUGAGGUGCUUGCACCUUAUCUUAGCGGCGGACGGGUGAGUAGUGCUUAGGAAUCUGCCUAUUAGUGGGGGACAACAUUCCGAAAGGAAUGCUAAUACCGCAUACGCCCUACGAGGGAAAGCAGGGGAUCUUCGGACCUUGCGCUAAUAGAUGAGCCUAAGUCGGAUUAGCUAGUUGGUGGGGUAAAGGCCUACCAAGGCGACGAUCUGUAGCGGGUCUGAGAGGAUGAUCCGCCACACUGGGACUGAGACACGGCCCAGACUCCUACGGGAGGCAGCAGUGGGGAAUAUUGGACAAUGGGCGGAAGCCUGAUCCAGCCAUGCCGCGUGUGUGAAGAAGGCCUUUUGGUUGUAAAGCACUUUAAGCGAGGAGGAGGCUACCUGGAUUAAUACUCUAGGAUAGUGGACGUUACUCGCAGAAUAAGCACCGGCUAACUCUGUGCCAGCCGCCGCGGUAAAAC